GACGAACGCUGGCGGCGUGCCUAAUACAUGCAAGUCGAGCGGACGAAUCGAAAGCUUGCUUUUGAUUCGUUAGCGGCGGACGGGUGAGUAACACGUGGGCAACCUGCCCUGUAGACGGGGAUAACACCGAGAAAUCGGUGCUAAUACCGGAUAACACGAAAUGUCGCAUGACGUUUCGUUGAAAGACGGCGCAAGCUGCCGCUACAGGAUGGGCCCGCGGCGCAUUAGCUAGUUGGUGAGGUAGCGGCUCACCAAGGCGACGAUACGUAGCCGACCUGAGAGGGUGAUCGGCCACACUGGGACUGAGACGCGGCCCAGACUCCUACGGGAGGCAGCAGUAGGGAAUCUUCCGCAAUGGACGAAAGUCUGACGGAGCAACGCCGCGUGAGCGAAGAAGGCCUUCGGGUCGUAAAGCUCUGUUGUUAGGGAAGAACAAGUAACGCAGUAACUGGCGUUACCGUGACGGUACCUAACGAGAAAGCCACGGCUAACUACGUG
rnacentral:rRNA from 1 species